rnacentral:rRNA from 1 species
GAUGAACGCUGGCGGCGUGCUUAACACAUGCAAGUCGAACGAAGCACUUUAUUUGAUUUCCUUCGGGACUGAUUAUUUUGUGACUGAGUGGCGGACGGGUGAGUAACGCGUGGGUAACCUGCCUUGUACAGGGGGAUAACAGUUGGAAACGGCUGCUAAUACCGCAUAAGCGCACAGCAUCGCAUGAUGCAGUGUGAAAACCUCCGGUGGUAUAAGAUGGACCCGUGUUGGAUUAGCUAGUUGGGGAGGUAACGGCCCACCAAGGCGACGAUCCAUAGCCGACCUGAUAGGGUGACCGGCCACAUUGGGACUGAGACACGGCCCAAACUCCUACGGGAGGCAGCAGUGGGGAAUAUUGCACAAUGGGCGAAAGCCUGAUGCAGCGACGCCGCGUGAGCGAAGAAGUAUUUCGGUAUGUAAAGCUCUAUCAGCAGGGAAGAUAAUGACGUUACCUGACGAAGAAGCACCGGCUAAAUACGUG